CGAGCCUGAGUAAAAGACAUGUGACAAAAUAGGUUUGCACACACAAUCUGGACAGGGCAAAACAAGAACCAAAACAAACUCCUAAAAUGUCACAAGAAGGGGCGAUAUGAGCAAAGGAAUAUACCUUUACCCAGUCUUCCAUAUCUCCAUCUUCAAUCACUUCUAACACCUCAUGUUCCUCAAUGGUCAACUCAUCUGGUUGAGAAGCCUGCAAUGUAGGAUGGUCAUGGACAAAAUUAAAAAGGUUAGAUAAAGAGCAGAUGUGCGCUGAUCAUAACAAAAACUGGGGAUCAAAAUAUUGAAAUGAUUUUGAAAAACAUACCAAACAUAAAAAUUUAAGUGUUGUAAAACUAUCGUAAUGAGGUGAAGUUUUACUUUAAAAAAUUAAACAAAAUAAAGCCACAGCAAAAACUGGAGAAACGGAAUCCUCAAGAGACAAUCAGGUGCAGUGAACACAGCACUCUGCUGGAAGCAGGGGACCAGGGUUCCAGCUCCAGCUUGUUUCUAUUGGUUAUUCAACUUCUUGAUGCCUCCAUUUCUUCAAAAUGACAAUCCUGCCAUUCUGGGGAGGAUGAGGGAGUCAAUGUGGGAUGAAUAAGCUGAGAACCAUGAUGAUCUGUGAAGCACAGGCACAGGAGCAAGCGCUGAAUUAGAACGGCACCGGAGGGCUACCAUGGAAGCACAGGCCGUGAAAAUGCAGAGAACUAUGUACAUGGAUUGGAUGACAGCUUGAGCAGCGCCUAGAACUGAUCUGGAAUCACUGUGCGAUAAACAAUGGCCAGGAGAAUUAGAGUUGCAGGAAAGAAAAUGGCUGAGAUCGUCCACAAUUUGGAUUUAUUAUGCUCUAACUUAACUGUGGAGAAUGGGCUGAUCCACUUAGAUGCUUUUGUACAGGAUGCUAACUGUGAUGGUUUUAUGGUCUCUGACGCAGGAGUUCACUAGCGCUGGCCACCCAGAUACUGCUCCCGAGACUGCAGAAUCUGAGCGCAACCUCUAAGGGGCUCAGCAGAGAGGCUGGAGAGAAACUGUGUGGCUUUGUUUCCUAAAGAGACUUGCCGGUCACAUGUAACAGGGCGGGGCCUGCUAGCAUCUUCUGGUUCUCUGUAACUGAAGCAAUGGCCUAGACCAAGAUGGUGAAAGGCGAAUGGGCUCAGGCGACAUGGUACAAUAUUCUCUCGUGGUGCAGCAGCAGCAGCAAGCUACGGCUCCCAGUCAGCCACAAUGUCACAAGGGUAAACAAGGCUUCAUGCCUGGUGUGGAGGCCAGUGUAGGGC